AACGUAGGAGACAAACGUUAUCCGGAGUUACUGGGCGUAAAGGGCGUGUAGGCGGUUUGUUAAGUCUGGCGUGAAAGCUCUCGGCUAAACCGGGAGAGGGCGUUGGAUACUGGCGAACUAGAGGAUGGUAGAGGCGUGUGGAAUUCCGGGUGUAGUGGUGAAAUGCGUAGAGAUCCGGAGGAACACCAGUGGCGAAGGCGGGUCUCUGGGCAACAACUGACGCUGAGGAGCGAAAGCGUGGGGAGCGAACAGG
rnacentral:rRNA from 1 species